rnacentral:rRNA from 1 species
GACGAACGCUGGCGGCGUGCUUAACACAUGCAAGUCGAACGGAAAGGCCCUGCUUGCCGGGUACUCGAGUGGCGAACGGGUGAGUAACACGUGGGUGAUCUGCCCUGCACUUCGGGAUAAGCCUGGGAAACUGGGUCUAAUACCGGAUAGGAGCCAUUUUUAGUGUGAUGGUUGGAAAGUUUUUUCGGUGUAGGAUGAGCUCGCGGCCUAUCAGCUUGUUGGUGGGGUAAUGGCCUACCAAGGCGGCGACGGGUAGCCGGCCUGAGAGGGUGGACGGCCACAUUGGGACCUGGCAACGGCCCAGACGCCUACGGGAGGCAGCAGUGGGGAAUAUUGCACAAUGGGCGCAAGCCUGAUGCAGCGACGCCGCGUGGGGGAUGACGGCCUUCGGGUUGUAAACUCCUUUCGCUAGGGACGAAGCUUUUUGUGACGGUACCUAGAGAAGAAGCACCGGCUAACUACGUG